UGAAUGUCAAAUAUAAAAAAUAAAUAAAAGAAGUUGUACAUGAUCAUUUACUAUCAAGUUAUGUAAAAUUGAAAAUACCAUUAUUCCUGUAGAGAUUCUCAAACAACUCUUUGGCAAAUUAUAAAAUAGUUAAAAAAAGAACGAAAGUUUAAAAAAAAAAAGAAAAUGUACAACAUCCAUAUCAGGAGAUGUUUUUCUUCUCAAUCUCAAUAUUUUCUAGCCGUGAAGCAAUUGAAAAGCUUAACACUAAGUGAAUUAUUAAGAAUUCAUCAUUUAAAUUCCCAAAUCGCAAAAUGUUGGUGCAACUAGGAAAGUGCAAAUGCAAUCACUUAACUAACACAAGAAACACCAAUAGUGAGAGCCCACUUUGUAUCAAAUUUGAAACAGAUAGAGGUCAAAAAAAUUAUAGACACUCAAUUAAAAGCCUUUCAAACAGCUUUUGCAUGCAAUAAGAACAAAUCAAAGGCGAUGUGAAUGUAUUCAAAGACUAAUUUACAAUCAUCUACAGGACAUAAAUAUCUUGGAUACCUACUCUCUAUACCUUCCUGUCCAACUGAAAAUCACCAAAUCCCUCCAAACAAAAAUGACAAAAUGGAUAAGAAUUGUGUGGUCAAACUUCAAUAACUUAGCAGCCACAGCAAAAACUUAUGUAGACAUGCAAGCCACUCAAAAUAGUCAUAUUUUUUGCUUUCCAAACACAAGCCACUGUGUAAUGAAUGCUCAUAAAUUGCUACUACCAUGUUUGUUAAAACACGUGAAAACCACCAUAACUAACUCAAUGUAACUGAUGAUCAUCAUCACAUUCAUGGAAUCACAUAUCUGACAGUAUUAAUUAGUGCAAAUUGCAUGCUUCUUGAAACUCCUUGUUUAUCACAUGGGCGCCAUUCCAAUCAACCAAUGAUUCUGAUCUAGUCGGCAUAUUCAACCCACGAGCGAGUAAUACCUCUUAUUGCUUCUUUACAUUUCUCAACGAAAUUCCACAUUCAAACCAUACUUCUGAACUUGUUGCUCCCAUAGACUAAUACAAUAUAAAUAUUUCUUCCCACACCACCUCAAUCCCCACUCCUGAAAAACCAAUUUAAAUUCUCAUUGGCUGUACAACCUAUAGUCCAUACCAAAUUGAAAAAUUUACAAAUAUAGAACCUCAAAGAAUCUUCUUGCGUUCCAUUUUUUACGGCAAGAAAUUUGACUUUUACCACAUGCAAGUCAACAAAUAAAAAAAUCAUGUCUUUGUGAGAUGCACAUUUUCAGACGAAUUUGAAGAGCAAUGAAACUGUAAAAACCGAAUAUGAGAACACCGAGGACUGCAGAUAUCACCUAUAGAAUCUUCGGUCCACACUUGCAUGAUGAAAAUGAUGAAAAAAAAUUGAAGGCUUCGUCACCAGCUCCCCAGGUUGUUUUGUUCUCCUAUCUCCUAAACAUAAAGGAAAUGCAACCUGUUCUUUUUUCCAAUCUUAAGGGGCACAGAACGACCCUGGUAUAAAAUAGUCAGUUUCUAUACAAAAAUAACUCCUUUGCACUUGGCAUUCCACAUCUCAAAAUAAAAAGCAUGCAAGGAGGAGAACAUAAUAGCAUUAAACAAGUUUUAUUAACCAAACUUCAAAGAUGCCACACAAGGCAAAAAAGGAAUCUGUACAAGCCAGAUCCCAAGAAUAAUAAUUCCAAUAUACAAUUCACAAAAACAAUAACUAAAACCAUGUUCAUGAGGCCUCAGCAGAAGCAACAUGUAAUAACCAUACUCUAUUAUUUGAAACACAUUUCCAAGUUUGGUUAAGAUUCUAAACCAUUCUCUAUGUGUCAAUUAUUAACAUGUAAAACAUAAUAAUAUACACUUAAACUACUACAGUAGUAAAACCAGUAAAACAACAAUACCUGCUAAAAAGAUUUGCUACCUCUUCACAUUCACGAGCAUUGCAGAACCAAAUCCCAUUUACUUCUUGGGAUGCAUUCCGAUAUAAAAAAUACGGAACCUGAACUUCAAACUCAAAAUCUCCCAAAAGAUUUUCCACUAAAUUAUCUGCACAUAUCCAAGAAAUUGAAGCUUAUCAGUGCAAAAACAUAUGCAAAAAGACAUGAAGGUUAGGAGAUACAACUAAAACUUAGCAACAACUGAUAAGCACAACAAGAAAUGAAAUAUAACACGAGUUGUAAACAAGAUAGACACAUGGUAUCUAAAUAAUUGUACCAACCCCCUCUCCUGAUUGUCAUAAAAAGGCCAAUAUUUAACCCUAGACAACAAAAUUGCAAAUACUCUAGCCUCUAUAUUAUUGGCAUAUAAAUAUUUUCGGUUAGGUACAUUAUAUUCUUCCUUCUAAAACCUCAAUUAUUAGCUAGUACUGUGAUAAAAUGAUUCAAAACUGAAAUAGAAACAACGACAAACCAACCUGUAUUACGUCGAUUCAUUACAACAAACUGAAAUCGAGGCUGUGUGUUCCUGAAAAUUGAAAAAAUAAUAAUUUCACCAACUUCAUAUGUAAUACAAUCUCCAAAACACUGAAUAUCAAAUGAAAAAAAUGGAAAGCAUAAGAGAGAAAAGAAUCUAAUUUUAUUGACCUUUUGACGACGAAGAGAGAGCCUUCAACAUCCUUACGACUCCAUUGGCUGAGAUCGAUGUUGAACUCGUAGAAGGUGACAUGAGCGGCCGUGAUGAGGAUCUCCUCAAUGAAUGGAUCGAUUCGCUGAAGAACUGUCAGGUUUAGGAGUUUUGUGCUCUGCUGGUCCAGAUUAGGCAUCAAUUUUCCGUUCUGCGACAUUUUUCAUAGUCCUUUUGGGCUCUGCCCCGAGCACAAGCCCCAUGGUUUUUCUGUGAGCUCUCUCUUUUGUAAAUAAAGUGUUUCAUGAGAUAGUCGAGAGAGAGUGAAAGAGUUGAACAGCUAAACAAGGUGAGGUGAACACUUUCGGACUGAGACUCGAGAUUGAUCUUUGCUUUAACGUCUUUCAAACAUUUGGGAAAUAGCAUUUAUUUCUUUCACAGGGAUUUGUCUGUGGUAUACCCCAAAAAAAGGGUAUUUAUCUAAAAAUACCUCCAUACUCAAAAAUUUCUCGUAUAUGCCUUUUCUAAUAUGCAGUUACGAAAUUACCCUAAUGAAAAACCUAAAUCAACUAAACUACCACAAUCAAUCGUGUAACAAAAUCCCUAAUUUUUUCUCAUGAGCAGCUUCUUCUUCAGCCCGUUCUUCUGGGUUUCUCCUCCUCCAUUUUACAAAUCCCUAUUAUUUUACAACAAUUCUUCUACACACUCUCGCCUCUCUGCAAAUCAGUAGCUGCAAUUCCCCCACUCUGCUUCAGCAUCUCCUCUUCCAGGUACUUUUAGAAAGUCAAAUUUUUUGUUUUAAUGUAAAAUAAAAUUUGAAAGUUUCAAAGCUCAAGUUAUUGAUUUUUCUGAAAAAAAUCAUUUGCAGCUGGUAUUGAAAUGUGUGCAAAGUCUUGUGCCAAAAGCUUAAUUUUCAUUUCUCGCAAAAGUCAGAUGACAAGACUUCACUUGAUUAGGCUUAUGCUUGUCUUUUACCUUGCAUUAAUUUUCAUCUCUUGUAAAAGUCAGAUAAUAAGGCUUCACUCGAUUAGACUAAUAAUUGAUUUAACAUAUUCAUUUUCUGAUUAAUUGUCAUCCAAUUUGCACGCACAUCGGAUAGAAUUCAUCCAAAAAAAUGGCUCGUAAGGUACGGGAGUCCAAAUACUUAUAAACCUACACACCAAGCCUUAGCUUAGCAAUAUGACACUCAAUUAUAGUUCAUAACCGAUAUGCAUGGUGGCCAUAUAUGGGGCUGAGUGACUUCACAGAUUUCAUACAAGGUGAAUAGCAGGUCUUCUUCUCAACUUACUUCGUCUGUGAAGAGAGAUUUCAUCAAAAAAUUGGUAAAACUCAUUCAAAAGACCGACUUAUGAUGUUAGAAAGACCAAAUACCCUAUAAAAUGCUUAAUAAAGUGGUCGCACAAUUAUUCUUGUGUACACAGUACCAAUGCAAUAGAAAAUAGGGUAAACAUUAAUGUCUCUAGCUACUCAGUCCAAUAGACAGUAUAAUCUAAAGAUGUCGUGUUGUUGUAUUGUUACACUGGUGAGACAAUUGCUGCAUGUUGCAGACAUGAUACCUCUAGUACUUCAAAAGAUAGCAUAUCACGAAACACAUCCAGACUGUAGUGAGGUUAUUUCGAAAAUUCCUUGGCCCAUUGUGUGAGUGCGUGACAUCCCGCAACAAAAAUCAGGGUAUGUACUAUAUAUAUAAUGUGUUUUGAACAUAAUAAUAAAAAUGAUGAUUUUUAACAAUUGAUUUAUAUGAAUAUUUUUAGUGGUGACUGUGGAGCAUUUUUGUUGCGGUACUUGGAGGUCCUAGCCCAUGGACUUGAUGUCAAUUCAUACUGCCAACAAGAUCAUGUUACACAAUUUCGACAAGCCUUGGCUGUAAAAUUAUUUGGGCAUAGGUCAUGGAAAAAAACUCCGUAGUGUCAUUUUUUGGAUUAUGAGAUGUAAUAGUUGUAAUGAGGAUGUUGUUGAUAUUUGAUGUCAUUAAAGACAAUUGACAGCAUUAAUAUAUUUUAUUUCUUUGUUAUUUAUAUUAAUGAUAGAUAAGAUAGUUUGCACAAUAUAUGCACAGGGAAUACACUGUAAGAGAAUACACGACUGCAGUCGGGUAUUUGCACAGAUACACGACUGCGGUCGGGUAUUUGGAAAUAAACAUAAUACGCUCUGUGUAAAAUACUCGACUGCAGUCGGGUAUUUGGAAAUAAACAUAAUACGCUCUGUGUAAAAUACUCGACUGCAGUCGGGUAUUUGCACAGAUACACGACUGCGGUCGGGUAUUUGGAAAUAAACAUAAUACGCUCUGUGUAAAAUACUCGACUGCAGUCGGGUAUUUGCACAGAUACACGACUGCGGUCGGGUAUUUGAAAAUAAACAUAAUAAGCUGUAACAAAAUACUCGACUGCGGUCGGGUAUUUGCAAAUAAACAUAAUAAGCUCUGUGACAAAAUACUCGACUGCAGUUGUGUAUUUGCACAAAUACACGACUGUAGUCGGGUAUUUACAAAUAAAAAUGACAAGCUCUCUGUGAAAAAAUACUCGACUGCAGUCGAGUAUUUGCACAGAUACGCGACUAUAGUUGAGUAUUUAGAAAUAAAUAUGACAAGCUCUCUGUGACAGUCGGGUAUUUACACAGAUACACGACUGUAGUCGAGUAUUUAGAAAUAAACAUGACCAGUUUUGUAACAGUCAAAAUACACUAUUGUACUGGGGUAUGUGCACAGAAUAAAAACUCUUUUCAAUCAUUCAUUAUAUUGAUGACACAAUCAAUAUAGAUUUUAAACAUAUCAAACUUCAAAUAAAUGAAACUAACUAUAGUCUGGUUGCCUAUCAAAUAACACAAAUCCAAUAGUUAUUGAAAUCGUAAAUAAGUCGUAAUACAAUAGAAGUUGUUUAACAUUCAUCAUAAAUUUUUGGCAUAUUCAACCCAAACACUCGGUCCAUAUUUUAUAAGCCUCUGGUCGCCUCCCUUCAAUACUUGUUCUUAGAAAGUCACACAAACAUGUUUAUUCAUCUGCGAAACAAAAAGGUAGAAAUUUAUCACUAAAUAUGAAAGAUAUUAAAAAAAUUAAAACAACAAAAAAUAACAAGUAUAUAAGGUUCAUAGUAGUCGUGUAACUUAUUAACAAUUAUAGUAUGUAAGUUUAUACGUACACGCUAGUAGUCGUGUAACUUAUUAACACACAUGACUAUAGUCUAGUAAUAGUAAAAGGAUAUAUAUAGUGAAAAAUAUAUAUUUUUUGAACCAAUAGAAUAAUAAGGUGUCAUAAUAAUUGAAUUUUUUUGCACAUUUUCACGACUACAGUCGUGUAAAUACAUACAUACACGACUGAUGUCGUGUAUGUCGGGUGCAGAAAAAAAAUUUGACAACAACUUCAGAUUUUAACGAAUGUAGUUAUAAAAUCCAUCAAAUAACAGUCAUAUGAUGCAAAUGUAAUAAAAAUAUGAGUUGCUUUAGUGUUUAUCACAAACCAAACAAAACCCUAAAAAUAAUAUAAUGUCAACAAAUUGAAUAGAUAGCCCAAAAUAAAAUAAAAAAAGUUUCAAAUACCUUAUUCAUGGGAUGAAUAAUACACCCAGCUGCAAACAAACUCAGUGCAUUAGCUGUUUGUGAGUGAUUUUGAGUGUGGUGUGAGUUUUUGUAUAGGUGAUAAAUACGUGAGAAGCAAAGAGUGUUGUGAGUUGUGUGUGUGUUUUAUAUUUUUCUUUAGGGAUAUUUUAGACAAUGUACCACAUAAAAAGGCAUACUUAAAUAAUUUUCAAACAUGAGGUAUAUUUAACUAAAUACACUACUUUUAAGGCAUAUUUAAUUAAAAACCCCUUUCUUUCAAUUUCUCUACUUUUUUUUGUUUUCCUUUAUGUCAUUUAGACCCCAAAAUUAGAUUUAUUAUAAUCAUAUUUUACCCAUUCACUAUUAACCCCUUUUAUUUUUAAAAUUGUCAAUAUUAAUGUAUUAGAAUAAUGUUAGAAAUCCCAAUUAUUAUCUCAAUGUUUAAAUCAUAACUAAUAUGAUAACUCAUCGGUUACUGCAACAUUAACUUAAUUAUUAAUGUUUAUCAUGAAAUGAUGAGAUUAUUAGUCAAGAAAGAAUUAGAAAAUAUCAAUGACUAAUACAAUGUGGCAAUUACAGUUGAAUAUUAAUACAAUAAUUAGGAUCCCAAAAGCUAGUGAAUGUAUUAUAAUAUAUGUGUGUUACACCACUUUAUGUCUCUCAAAUUCAAAUAAGUAAUUUCAUAAACCUGAUCUUUUAUUACAUUAAUUAGGAAUGCAUACAUGAACGAAAGAUGUGCAAUUUUUGUUCUAUUUUUCACUAUUAUUUACCAUUCAUCUGCUUACGUCACUUGAUUUUUUGCGAUUAAUAUGCUUAAAUGGAUCUCUUAGAUAUAAAUAAAAUAAACGAAAAGUCUUAAGAGAAAAAAAAAUGAGGACCGAAAUUAUUACACCUACGACAAAUUUGCCCGGAGAGCAAUAAACCAAACUUGCUUAGGAAAUACAAUGAUUAGUUAACAACUAAAAGAGCCUUCACCUUACAACUUAAAGCUUCUGUCAAGCAAACACCCAUUGAAAGCUGUUUAGGUCCGUUUUUAGAUCAUCGGAAAUUUGACAAAAUCAUAAAAACCCUCAUCUUAGAAAUUCCAAGCAUCAGGCAGUAGAUCAGGCAGUAGUCCGACUUUAUUGAUAUUGAGAGUAACACAAUAAAAGUUUCGUACAGAUUUUGCAAACGAAAAGCACAUAAUACACUUAACUAGGAGGAAAAAUUAAAGUGUACAUAUUACAAUCUGCUAACAAUAUACAAUAGUAUAUUGUAUAUACAAUAGUAUAUAUACAAAUUAACUAGGCACCAAUAAGAGUAUGAUACAACCAUUCUAAAUGAAAGAGAAUACAAUUGUUUUACAACUAUGUCACAUCAGGAGAUAUGUUAGCAGGAUUAAUCCAGAUACCUUCGAACCCAAUUAACGAACUCGAGUCAGAAACCAGGGGCCCCUAACUGAACCUUACAAUCUUGAAGGAAGAAGGAGACUUGUGGUCCAGAUAGGAGACUUACUAGAUCUCCUGCAAAAGAGAAUAUCUAUUGCUUUGAACCUCCAUUGAAAUUUCUUUUUCCCUUUUUCUUGUUUUGACUUGGAACUUUCCAGCAUCAUCUAUUUGAUCUUUUUUGAAGGUAAAAUAGCAAUCUAUAGGUUGCCAACAUGUUAUUCUGCCAAACCCCACCCCACCCCCCCGGGGGACAACAAAUCGACCUAGCACACACCUUUCUUCAUUGCCCACACCUACAGAACUAUAAUAAAAAGACUACGUUACUAUUGGGGUAGAGAAAAUAUACAGACUGUAUUAUUAUUACAUCGCAUUUUACUAAUUAACUAGUGCAAGACUUCUUUAGUGUCAAAUCAAGAACUAAUUAGAAAAGACAACUCAUGAUAAUACAGACCUUAAUAAGCAAUUGCUAACAACAUCCCAUAUACUCCUAUUUUAGCCUUCAUUAUCCUGGUAAAAACACAAAUAAGUCUUGCAAACGAACAUUAUAAGUAAAUUCAACAUUAAUUAAGAUUAGGUAUCUACUGCACCUAAUAGCAUGGUCAACCAUCUAGUUCCUGUAGCCUUCCAUGUACCUAUGUUAGUUACAUUUUACAUAUUAAGCCACGAAAACGAAGAAUCACAGCCUGGUAAAGAAAGACAUUAAUUAAUAGUUUUUGUUUAAAAAGUUCUCGUUUAGAUCUUUCCUAGUCAAUGAAUCAAUGUAAUUUAAAGAGAACUCUUCUAUUUCAAACAGUGUUAGAAGAUAUUUGCAAAGCCUAAAGAUAAUAUACAAGGACCAAGAUAUACACAGAUUGUUUCUUUAUGGGACUAAAGAGCUUUUUUAGAUGUUAAAACUGUUUCAAACUGUUUUUCUGGUUUGGUUUAACUAAGGAAGAGCUUGUGGAAGAUUAAAAAUGAUGUUUCCUGUUCUCUGUAGGAAGCUUUUAGGAGAUUUUUUGGGCUUUUUUGAAAGGUUGAAUUGUCAAAAAUACCUUCAUGUUAUUGUUUGCUAAAAGAUGUUAUGGACAACUAAACAACCAACAAUAUUUUGUUAAAAGCUCUACUAGUGUAGGAUCUACUUAAAGAAGCUAUACCAAACAGACUCUUAGACUGAAUAACUCGAUCUUAAGUUUGUAAAAUUGGGCUCAGAAUCUCCACUAACAACCCCGCUUCGGUGAGAAAGCCCAAGCCUGUUACUUUGUAUAACCUUAUUCUGUAUGUUUGAUUGCAGGAACUGGCCAAUCAUACCGACGAGGUGAGUGUGCAGCAUGACGUGCUUGACGGGAUGGUUACUUUCUAUGAUACAACUAAAGCUAGCCUCAACAUAUAUCAGGUGCCUGCUUGUUUUUACCUUAUAGAUACUAAUAUUGUUUAGACGUGUAAUCUCUCUCUCCAUUGAACGCUAGACGGCUCGUCUCAAGCCUUCUACGUACUUCAGAGUCCUUCAUUAGCUUUUUAUGUAUAAAGUUUUGAUCUUUUUCCUUCAUUUGCUUGAAGCUCAUUACUGCAGAUUUGUUUUACAGGUUGGUAGUGUAACAUUCGACUUGCUGUUGCUUCUAGUGUUGGGAUCGUAUUUAAUUGUGCUUUUCAGCUUUCUUGUCAUAACAACUUGGGUAUUACUCUUUCUCCAUAUCAAGCUUGAAGUUCUAAAUUUCAGUUUUAUCUUGUAUUUGAUUUUUUAUAAUUUCAUUGCAAACAGAUUAGAAUAGAAACUUCAAAAGUUCCAAGGUUUCCAACAGGGUCUUGAUGAUCUAAUCAGUUUGUUUCGAAGACCCCAUCCCGUAAGGUAAAAAAAGCUUGAUGCGGAAGCACGAUGCUGCACCUGUCCUGUGUAACUUUUUCAGGGAAGAUUUUCUCUGAUAACCGAGGUGGAAGUCUCCCAGGAGAAGUUGGCAAAUGAUAACUACGAAUGUGUUAUGGUUUAGCUCAGUGACACAAAGGACAUUUUUCAACAAUUGAUCCUAGGAAGAUGCCUAUAGCUUGUUGUGCCAAACAUAGAAAAUCAAAGAUGCGAAAAAAUUUUGUUGAGAUUCAUUUUAGUUAAAAUUGUUUUAUUGAGUGUUUAGCAAACGAGAAAAUGGAAGAAAGUUGAGAGAAUAAAACUGAAGCUAAGAGGAUUCUAGAACAUCUUUCAAUUUGUUCCGAAUACUCAAAAUGUGAAUACAUUGUUGUUUAUGUACACAGCUGAAGAUAACAGCUCAAUUGUAUAACUAACUACUACUUAGCAAUUUACUAACUGUAACUAAUCAAACUAAAUCUUCACGUGCACUGGUAAUCACAUAACCACUAGGUGCCAGCUGGACAGCCAAGUCAUCAACCUUUAACCGUGUGCCAUAGCUGCUGCAAUCCUCUGCUUUAUCUUCUGUUUUGCAUACUGUACAGCAAGCAUGAUGAGCUUCCUUAACAAUUUUUUUUGGGGCAGAGAAUAAUGCUUAUGUGAUUUCUGAACUUGGGGAUUAUGGCGGAUAGAGGCACUAAGGCAAGAGAAAUGUCUGAAUUAUCGAAACAAGAUGAAUUAUUUUUUGUUUAUCGCAGCAGACGAUCUAUGAGCGGAAUUUCUUACAACAAAAGAUGUGUGUCCACCGGCUUGUAUUUAGUCUCGUAAUGCAUUAUAUAUAUGCACGCACACACAGUUUGAGAAGAAUCAGACCAUUGAUUUUCUUUUGAGCCAAUCAACAGAAUGUACAUUUCUUCUAAGAUCUUGUAACCGAAACCGCAGUUUUUCAAGUUUGAUGCAUCUGGGAAAAUUGUCAGAUGGAAUAAAACCACCAUGCGCCAAGGUACCAAUGAUGUUUCUUCCAGCUUAUGAGCACUUCAAAUCAACUUAGGUCAUAUUUACACAAGGGCGCACAUGAUAUCAAUCUAAUGGCAAUUAUAUCAUCUAAAAUCCAAAACCAAGAGUCUCCCAUUUUCCCGUUCUCUACUCUGUUCAUAUUAUCAUAACUUCGAAGAUUGCAAGGCAGCCGCAGAUCCAGCGCAAUCUCUCAGAUCUUUGCUCCUUCCUCAUUGCAGUUAGUCAAAAGAUAAACAGAGGUGUCCCAUGUCAACAAGAAGGUAAUCAUAAAAGAACAACAGAAUUGUAAAACAUAUUUUGUUAUAGAUGAAAUGAUAUGAGCAUCCAUGUAUCUAUCCAGCAUUUAGGACACCGCAAUAUAUUCAUAUGAAACGUAAAACGAUUUAAUAUCAAUUUUCUUAAGGAGACUGAGCAGGUUGUCUCGCAAGUGGCGCAUUAGUAUUGUAACGUCUGUGGGGUCUUACAUUAUCCACAAAAAUAACUCGUCCAUCUAGUAAAUUAGAGAAAAAUGAUGCAAUUUCACCUUCCCACUCAUGUCUGCCAAGGCUUUUUGGGCUUCCUCUUCUGUACGGAAAGUCACAUACCCGUAACCUUUUGAUCUGUUCUUACCUUUAUCCAUUAUUAUGGUAGCUGCAAAAAGAAAAGAAUCGGAUAUUAGAAAACAGUGAAGAGGGAACAGGGGUUGAGACUUAAAAUAGAAAUAGACCAAACCCUCAGUGACUUGGCCAAAUUGUGAAAAAGCAUCAGCUAACAUUCCUUUAGUGGUUGAGAAAGAUACGCCUGCAAAGGAUGCCAGUUAAUUUUAUCAUAAUUAGAUGGUAAGAUUGCAAAUUCUGCAGCCAAAGGCAGUACGCAACUGAAUGAAGGAAAUCAAAUAUGAACAUGUUUUCAAUCUCAAAAUAUGAAGAGUAGCAGAAGUAACUUGUGAAACAGUUAUAAGUUCAAGGGAAUUAGAUGAUGGCAUGGUUGAAUUUUAUAAAUAUUUGAUAUUUUGGACCGAACAGGGCAAACAGAUGGAUCCAGAUAAUUAAGAAAAACAUCAAUUCCAUGCAACCAAAUUAGUGUGGACAAUGCAAUUGCCUUUCCCUAUGAGAGUAGAGGGCCUAAAUACAAGCAAAAACCUACUGAUGCAUCUACAGAAGCUCACAUUCACUAGCUGCAUGAUUAAAUCACUGGAUGGUCUCACUAUGCAGUAAAGAAUGAAAUAAUUAACGACCUGAUAAGCUGCAAGGUGAAGAAAAUAUUCACCAGAAAAGUUCAAAAUCAAAUCAACGUGGCUUUGAUUAUGGAAAAAAUGAAACAAUAUGUAGUGAAUGAAUCUUCUCGUAACUAUGCAAGACACAAUCACUUCCCAGGAUCUCAGAUAUAGAUUUACCAAGUUGCACAGAUUGAAGAACGAAUCCAGAAAGAAUCAAUUUAAGACAAGAAUUAAGAGAACUGAAAACAAUAGAAACAAACACAGACAACACAAGAAUCAAUUACGUGGUUCGGUUGCACCAAGGAGGCACAACCUACAUCCACGGGAGAUGCUUUCUGGAGAGCUUUUAUUGAAUAACAAUGGAGGAUCUUUUACGGGGCUUUUACUUAAGAUUACAGAGAACUCAUCUUUCACAUUCUCUGAUAUCUCUCUCUCUCUUAACACGGUUACACACCCGCUCAGCUCACAAACUGAACUACAAGAGCAACGAAUCAGCUAAAUCCAGAUUGCACAGCUUGUUGACACGUUGAGUAACAAACUUAACGAACUGAAUCAAGUUGCCUCGCACGGCUAUCACGUGCAUCACUUAAAGCUUUCCCUUAAACGACAAAGAUGAACUGCCGUUUCAAGCUUAAGAAACAAGUGAUUACACACGUGCUUCAGCCCGUGACUUUUAAGUGCUCUUAUCUUAUAUUGCCAAAACGCUGCCGUUUAGAGCUGAUGAGUUUGAUUCACCAGCAAGCCUCACACAAUAUCAGUUGAGCAACACUAUAAAAUUAUUCAAAGAAAUCUCUAGGUCAGUAUCCAAAUAUGUGGCUCCGUCAGAAGCAGAAAAGUUCAAAACCAAAGUAAGAGGUGAGCAGAAGCGGCCCAGUUUAGUUAUAUGCCAUGCAUGCGAUCAAAAUUGAAUGGUUAAAUUCAGUUGUUUCCAAUAAUUUUAUGUUGUAUCUUUUUUAAGAAUAAAGAAAACUUGCAUUAAAACUAAAAGUAGGGUAAUACCUGAUUUUCUAAAUAGAUUGCAAUGUAAUUUUGAAAAAUAAAACAAUAAUUUACGAAAUGGUUAUAACAUUAUUUUAAUUUUUUUUUCAAAAAGGAAAAACAACAAAAAUAAGAAAUAAAGAAUGAGGGCUACAAACUUUUUAUCUUAAACGGCCGUUAGAUUAUUUGUAAAUGAAAGCAACGGUCAGAUAUUGGUGGCUUAUGGAAACAGGUAAUCAUAAGGACUACGAGUUUUUUUUUUUUUUUUUUGUUCCAUUGAUAUAUAACAAUCGGGAUUCUAUUAAUAUUUACAAUUAGAAUUUUAUCUAACUAUCUUUGAUAAUUCUAAACUAGUACAACCCAAAUUCCUAUUCUCAUAUAAUAUGAAAGAGAGAUAUAUAUUCUUUUCCUCUAUUAACGAAGAGACAUUUUUACUUCUAUCCAAUUUAACUGGAACGAGAAUUAAAUCCUUUCAAUAGUCAGGACUCAGACCUCAUACACGCUAAUUUGAGAGUGUGAGGUGUGACAAUGGGCCAAGAGACCAUUGACAAGUACAAAAGAGUGAUUGCAAUUAAUUCAAACCGCUACACACGCUAAAUUAAGGGUCCAUUUUUGUUUAUUUCAUUGCAAAGUAGUUUGCACAAUUAAUUCAAACCGCUACACACACUAUUGCAUCUUUUGAAAAAGAAAAAUGGAAUAGUUUGAAUUGCCCAUGACAAGAAUGCUUGUGUUGUGAAAAGAAAUCCAAUGGUUUGUAAAUGGGUUGAAUUUUUCGCUUACUUCAAUGACUUGCUUAUGCCCAAUAUAUUACUUUGCACAGUAGUAUUUGGGAUCCUAACAAUCAACUCUUAAUUUGGUCCCAAUAUAUUACUUUAUGAAUGCUUGUGCUGUUUUUUUAAUAUAAAAUAAUUUAUUUAACUAAUCAUAGAAAUAAGAGAGAAAAGGGGGCAUUUGUUGACUCAAAGUCAAUUACAAAUAUUCCAUGCCUAACUUCCACGCACCCUAAAACGGUUUGAUUUGCUUUCAUGCGUUCAUGAAUUUCCAUGAAAGAGAGUGCCUCCCGUCUCUUUACGGACAGUGACUCCAAUUAUGUUAGCGUGACAAAUACAUAACGUUAUUACAUACAAGAAUAAGUUUUUGGAGCCGAGACUUGAGGGAGGUUCUAUCUAAUUCUAAAGAUUGUAACCAAAUCAUUAUCCCCAAUUUUUUUCAGUUAAAUAAAAUAAAAUUUAUGCUUAAAUAUAAAUAAUACUUUGGACAUUCUUGAUAUUUGUCCUUUUAAGAUAAACAGCAACCCAAUUAUCUAUUUGUUUGUCUUUUUUUUUUAGUAACAGUUUGUUAGCAUAAAUAUUUACCUGUGAAGUCGAGGAGGAGAAAAUAUUAGAAAAAUAAAAAGAAAAAAAAAUUAAGGGAGAUAGAAUCAGAUUUUCUUUUUUGAGCAAAGAACAUACGUAAAAAGAUAUUAAAUCUAUUAAGUCUAAUUGUCUAUAACAGUAAAUUGCAUAACGAAUAAUUUAUCAGCGUAAAAUAAAUUUUAUUAUGUUAUGAGUGUUCUGAUUAUUUUCUAGAGUACGAAUUGUCCCAUCGUAAAACAAACGACGAGAAAUAUAACCUUUGCGGUGGUCUUUUACCGUGUCGUUGUAAAAAGGUUAGUAGUUGAGUACUAUUAGUAAUUUAAUGCACCAAUAUUCUUUCUUUGUCUUAUGAAAUUUUUUCGUUAUCCAAGAGUUUUAAUUGAAAUACUUGGCUUCCAGUUAUUUUGUAAAGCUGUUGAAAACUACCACAGUAAUUUUUAUUUGAGGGCCAAUGUUUAGCGAUUUGGGGUCAAUUCAAAGUCAACUAACGUGUAAAACAUGAUUUCCUUUCAUGAACUUCCAAGAAAGAAAGGAGACCAUUCACCUUCUUCGUGACAACAAAUGAUGUUGAUAUGACAAAUACAAACGCUAUUACAGUAUAAGACCGAGACUUGAUAAAUUGUUAAAUUACAUGUCAUUUUCUUGUUGACUAAAUUGGAAGAAAAAAAUUAAAAUAAAAUAAAAUUGUAAUCAGGGUGAUGUGUGGAAUAUAUUGAAAUAAAUAAAUGGAGAAGAGAAAUUCGUUGAUCAAUAUUCAAGAACUCAUCCAAAGUGACCGUUAAAGUCUGGAGGUUCCGUAUGAUUAGCAUUUAUUUUUAAUUUUUUGGCUUAACAUCAUAUGUAGUCAUUGGUCGUGUGAUCUAGGACAGGUUUAGAAAUCUUUUUUUUUAACUUCCGUAUUCUUAUUAUUUAAUUAGUUAUAGGAUUUUUUAGUAUUUGAGUAGUGAUCGCAUGUCUCCUAAUCUAAAAAUAUGUUUCUACGAGUACAAAUAAAAACUAAGAUUUUAACAACCUUUUAUACUAAACCCUAAAAAUACAUGAAUUUAUCAAAAUAAAUAAAUUUGAAUUGGUAUGCCAUAAUAAAAAUUUUACUUGCCAAAACAAAUUAAAAAAAUGUGACGCUUAAAUCAAAUGUUGACAAAAAUAGACAAAAAUCCAACAAGAAUCUCAAAAAUAAGAAAGAUAUCUUCAAACAAAAAUAAAAGCGCUCAAGAGAAAUUUGGCGACGAUCUGCUAAUCCAUAUUAAAAAUGUCACUUUGACUCACACUCUUUUCCUCGAGAACUUCAGAAUGAUAUAUUAUGAGCCUAAGACAAAUAGCUAUUGCUCAAGUUAUGGCCUUAUGAAUACAUCUUACUCAAUGGCCAUCCUAAAUCAAUAGAGCAACUUGGACGUGUCGAACAUGUUUGCAUUCAAAUUUAGGUAAAAAUCUAUUCUUAUUGAAGGUAUAUAUAGGUGCCUGUGAAGUCUCAUACCGGAUAUAAUGUGAAAGCAAAUCAUGAAUUUAAUCAUUCAGCCAAUUAUUAGUGUGUACGUAUGGUAGGGAUGGCAAAAACCCCGACCGUAGGUAUAGUAUUACCCAGAUUUGGCCUAAUCAUUUUUUUUUAACACCUAGACUUUUUCAAUCAGAGCUUAAAAACCUAUAAUAUUAUAUAUAUUUUUAAUUUAUUUUAUAAUUUUAUAUUUUCAAAUUUUAUUUUAAUAAAAUUAGACUUGAAAAUAUGAAUUUUAAAUAUUUAAAACUUUAAAUAUAGAUAAUAAGUGGACCAAAUGAACAAAAUAAUAGAUAUUUUAUAAUAUUCUUCAUAAAAAUCCAAGUUUUGAGCUGGCCCAUAAGCUUGUGUGGUGAAGUCUGGGAACCCGCGUUGCCCAAGGUUCCGUCAGAAUCCAGGCUGUGCAGAUAUUUAUGACAUCCCAUAUGGACGGAGAGGAAAUAUUUUCAGUUGACUGAAUUAAAUAAAAAUAUAUUACAAUCAUAUUAUAUAUUAACAGAAAAAAUAAAAAGAAAUGAAGAAAAACGUAUGCAAGACUUAGAGAAGUCAAUUAAAAGCUGGGAGUAUCAUCAGUUCAAUUGGUUAUAAAUAGCGUAGAGCCAUCCUCUCGUUGUUGCAGAACUGAAGGAAAGAGAGACAUAAAGAGUGUGUGUAGGUGAUUAUAAUUAAGAAGAUAUAAUGUGUGGUUCAAAAAGAGUGUGGGUGAGUGAGUUGAUUUUCAUAUUAUUAGUAGUAAAAGGGUGGUGGAGUGAAGGAUGUUUGGAGCAAGAGAGGUCUGCUCUCCUCCAACUCAAACAUUUCUUCAAUGGUGAUCAACGUCUUCAAAACUGGGUAGACGCAGGAGAUGAUGAGAAUUAUUCAGAUUGUUGUCAGUGGGAAGGGGUUGAGUGUAAUAACACCACUGGCAGAGUGAUUGAAUUACAUCUAGGAUAUACUCGGAAUUGGGAAUCAGCAGAGUGGUAUAUGAAUGCCUCUCUCUUUACUUCCUUUCAACAAUUAGAGUCUCUUGAUCUAAGUUGGAACAAUAUAGCUGGUUGUGUUGAAAAUGAAGGUCCUUAAUUUACUCUAUUUUAGUUCUUCCUCGUAAUUUCUUACAUUUAUCUGAUCCCUUUGGGCUUUUGUUUAAUUUGUACAUGAUACAAUAACAUUUUUUUUAGUUUUUAUUUUUUAUUUUUUGGCAGGUCUAGAGAGGCUAUCAAGGUUGAACAACUUGAAGUUUCUUUAUUUAGACGAUAACCACUUCAACAACAGCAUCUUUUCAUCUCUAGGUGGUCUUUCAUCACUCAGACGCUUAUCAUUGGUUGAUAAUAGAUUGAAUGGAAGUAUUGAUAUUAAAGGUAAGCAAGCUUCAUCCCUUCUCCCGUGUCCCAUCUUUUGUGGAUCUUAUUUCAUUGACCGGCUGGAAGUAUUGAUAUAAGAUCUGGCUAAACUCUUGCUAGUUUAAGCUUCAAGGAUUUAAAUAUUAUAAAAAUAGGUUUAAGAAAUUAUCAAUAUAUGCAAUUUUCAAUGCUUCUCAUAAUCAGACACAAUUCAAUCUAAUUAUUUUGUAUGUCCUGUCUUCAAAAGUAAAGAAUUGUACACUAAAUGGAAAUCGACAUCGUAGCUUUUUAUUUUUUCUAAUGCUCUUUUUUCGUUAACAAGUUUAUAUCCUAAGAGGGAUUGGAUUAAAAAAAAAAAAAAGUUUUGAUGUUCAAGGUAGGCCAUAAUAACCUGCAUGUUAUUUGUCUGCCUGUAUCUAAAUUUGUGCACUGAAUUUAGUAUUUUGGUUAUUGUGAAGGGAUCAGAUAUUGGCUUCCAUAGACCAACUUGUAUUUAGUUAAUUAAUUAAUUAACUACAUUUAGUAUUUAACAAAUUAAAAUUUAGUGUUUAAUCUAUUUUAAUUUUUUUAAGAAAAAAGAAAAAGAUAUAGCAGUAGGUAAAGCUAAAAUAAAUUUUAAUUCCUUACAAAUUUAAAUUCAUGGUUGUCAGCUAAAUAUACUUGCUUAAAGCCACUUAGUCGAGCCCUUUGAGAGCUGCUUUAAAUUUUUCGGAUUAGCCAUAUUCUUUUCUUAUUAAUAAAAAUCUUUUCGUUGAGAUUUAACAUAAAAAAGGAGAAAAUAAGUUAUUUAAUUAACUCUGUUUUAAGUGUUGGAAUAAAUACAGGACUGGAUUCCUUGAGUAACUUGGAGGAGAUGGACAUGAGCGACAAUGCAAUCGAAAAUCUAGUGGUUCCUAAAGGUAUACAAAAUGUUCAAAUAUUAAUAAUUUGGAGGACAAUUUAAUUGAUUUGAUUAGGGAAUGCCCAAUGACACUUACCCAAAAUAAUUUAAUCCGAAAUUGUAUCUCAAAUAGAUUACAGAGGUUUGAGGAAGUUGAAUACCUUUUAUUUGGAAGCAAGGUGUUGCAAUCAAUAAAGAAAUUCGUUGGUAAAUAUUCAAGGACUCAUCCAAAGUGAUCAUUAAAGUCUAGAGGUUUGCUCUCCUCCAAUUCAAACAUUUCUUCAAUGAUGAUCAACGUCUUCAAAACUGGGUAGACGCGGGAGAUGAUGAGAAUUAUUCAGAUUGUUUUCAGUGGGAAGGGGUUGAGUGCAACAACACCACUGGCAGAGUGAUUAAAUUAUAUCUAGGAUAUGCUCGGAAUUGGGAAUCAGCAGAGUGGCAUAUGAAUGCUUCUCUGUUUACUCCCUUUCAACAAUUAGAGUCUCUUCAUCUAAUUGGGAACAAUAUAGCCGAUUGUGUUGAAAAUGAAGGUCCUUAAUUUACUCUAUUUUAAUUCUUCCUCAUAAUUUCUUACAUUAAUCUGAUCCCUUUUGGCUUUUGUUUAAUUUGUAGGUGAUACAAUAAAAUUAUUUUUUAUUUUUUGUCAGGUCUAGAGAGGUUAUCAAAGUUGAACAACUUGAAGUUUCUUCGUUUAGAAUCUAACUACUUCAACAACAACAUCUUCUCAUCUCUAGGCGGUCUUUCAUCACUCAGAAACUUAUCAUUGGCUAGUAAUAAAUUGAAUGGAAGUAUUGAUAUUAAAGGUAAGCAAGCUUCAUCCCUUCUCCCAUGUCCCAUCUUUGUGGAUCUUAUUUCAUCGACCAGCUGGAAGUAUUGAUACGAGAUCUAGCUAGACUCUUGCUAGUUUAGGCUUCAAGGCUUUGAAUAUUAUAAAAAUAGGAUUAAGAAAUCAUCAAUAUAUGCAAUUUUCAAUGCUUCUCAUAAUCAGACAGAAUUCAAUCUAAUUAUUUUGUAUGUCCUGUCUUCAAAGGUAAAGAAUUGUACACUAAAUGGAAAUCGACAUUGUAGCUUUUUAUUUUUUUCUAAUGCUCUUUCUUCGUUAACGAGUUUAUAUCCUACGAGGGAUUGGAUUAAAAAAAAAAAAAGUUUUGAUGUUCAAGGUAAGCCAAAAUAACAUGCAUCUUAUUUAUCUGCCAAUAUCUAAAUUUGUGCAUUGAAUUUAGUAUUUUGUUUAGUGUGAAGAGAUCAUUUAUUGGCUUCCAAAAACCAACUUGUAUUUACUUAAUUAAUUAAUUAAUUAACACCAUUUAGUAUUUAACAAAUUAAAAUUUCGUGUUUAAUUUGUUUAAUUUUUUAUUUUUUGAAACAAGAAUAAGGUAUAGAAGUAGGUAAAGUUGAAAUAAAUUUUUAUUCCUUACAAAUUUAAAUUCGCCAUUGUCAGCCAAAUAUACCUACUUAAAACCACUCAAUCAGGCCCUUGGCAUCUGUUUUUUAGGUUUUUCUAAUUAGCCGUAUACUUUUUUGCUUAUUAAUAAAAUUCUUUUGCACCAAGAUUUAAAAAUAAAGGAGGAGAAAAUAAGUUAUUUAAUUAACCUUGUUUUAAGUGUUGGCAUAAAUACAGGACUGGAUUCCUUGAGCAACUUGGAGGAGCUGGACAUGAGCUUCAAUGCAAUCGACAAUCUAGUUGUUCCUAAAGGUAUACAAAACGUUCAAAUAUUGAUAAUUUGGAGGGCGGUUUAAGAGAUUUGAUUAGGGAAUGCCCAAUGACUUACCCAAAAUAAUUUAAUCCGAAAUUAUAUCCCAAACAGAUUACAAAGGUUUAAGGAAGUUGAAUACCCUUCAUUUAGGGGGAAGGGAAAAUGCAAUGAUAGAUGGAAGACAGGUGUUGCACUCAAUAGGAUCACUGUCGUCCCUCAAAACACUUUACCUUUUGUAUACCAAUUUUAUGGGAACAGUAGUUAAUCAAGGUAAGUAAAUCUUUUAUCUCGAAAAUAAUUGAAUUAAUAUAUAUAGCUAAAAUUUAUUGUUUCUACUUCUUUCUAAAUAGAAUUGCACAAUUUCACCAACUUGGAAGAAUUGAUAUUGCUCGAGUCUUAUCUCCAUGUAAGCCAGCUUCUACAAAGUAUCGCAUCAUUCACUUCGUUAAAGUAUUUGUCAAUGCAACAUAGUGUACUCAAGGGUGCCCUGCAUGGUCAAGGUAAAUUACGGGUAUAUGAAGCGUUUGUGAUAUUAAUUCGAUGAUAAUUCUUUCUUUUCAAGUUAAGUUUUUCUUGUAAAAUAAUUUUUUUCUUUUUAAUUUUAUAUAUUUUCACUGUCCAAUAGUUCUAUCUUCUCUAAUUUGCUGGAUUCUUGAUUAAGGUUAAUGAAAUUUUAGUUCUGUUAUGUUAAGAAUAUUUCGAUCGCUUAAAAGAGUAAAGAAAAAUAAGUAAAUUAACCCAAAAAAAAAAGAAAAGAAUAGGACCGGAUUAUCCUUAUUCCCUUGCAUUAUGUGAUCAAUAUCAAAAUUAUAACCAUUUCUUGUUUAUUGCUUGUAGAUUUUCGUAAAUUCAAGAAUUUGGAACGUCUGGACAUGGGUGGGGCGCAGGUUGACGUCAACACCAAUUUUCUUCAAAUUGUCGGCGAAUCGAUGCCUUCUCUUAAGUUUUUAUCACUGACAUAUUCAAGUCUUAAUAAAAACACCAUUCUUGAUCAAGGUUAAUUAAUGAUUCUCCGUCUCCCUCUCUCGCAUCAUAACUAAAUUUAAUUGAAAAUAUCUAUAAUGUGAGCUAUUUAUAAACUUAAUGAAAGAUGAUAAGGAGCCAUAAUAAUGACAAAAACAACUGUAAAAUUUUACAGUUAUUUUGUUGCCAUUACGUCAGAUUCUACUGUUCAACUAUCAGUGAUCAAACUUAAUUUUUAAUAUGUACUUUAAAGAUUUUAUGCAAUUAUUUAUCUAUGUGUACUGAAGGAUGAAUUAUAUAUUUUUCAGGACUUUGUCAGUUAGUGCAUCUGUACGAGUUAGACAUCGGCCGUAACGAUUUGAGAGGUAGCUUGCCAUGGUGCUUGGCAAACAUGACAUCCCUUCAAGUGUUAGAUGCCUCUUCUAAUCAACUUACUGGAAACAUCUCCCCAGGCCUUUGUGAGUUGGUGCUUCUGAGAGAGUUAUACAUUGAUAACAAUGAUUUAAGAGGUAGCUUGCCUUUGUGCUUGGCAAAUUUGACUUCCCUUCGAGUAUUAGAUGUCUCUUACAAUCAACUUACUGAAAACAUCUCAUCUUCCCUCAUGCAUCUAAUAUCUAUAGAAAAGCUCAUACUUUCAAAUAAUCACUUCUUCCAAAUCCCUAUUUCACUUGAACCACUUUUCAAUCUCUCAAAACUCAAGACUUUCGAUGGUGAAAUAUGCACAGAAACUGAGUCACAUUAUAAUUCUUUGACCCCAAAAUUCCAACUGACUUCUAUCUCACUGUCUGGUUACAUAGAUGGUGGCACAUUUCCUAAAUUCUUGUACCAUCAGCAUGACUUGAAGAAUGCUGAUCUCUCACACCUUAACUUGAGUGGAAAAUUUCCAAAUUGGUUGGUAGAAAACAAUACGAACUUAGAGACGCUUCUUCUUGCCAACAACUCUCUUUUUGGGUCAUUUCGGAUGCCAAUUCAUUCCCACCAGAAAUUGACAAUAGUGGAUGUCUCCAACAAUUUCUUUCAAGGCCAUAUUCCGGUGGAAAUCGGAACAUAUCUGCCAGGUUUAAUGGAUUUAAACUUAUCUAGAAAUGCUUUCAACAGUAGCAUUCCCUCUUCAUUUGCUGAUAUGAAAAUGUUGAAAAGGUUGGACAUAUCCUACAAUCAGUUGACUGGUGAAAUCCCUGAGCGCAUGGCCACGGGUUGCUUCUCUUUGGAAAUUCUUGCAUUGUCAAACAACAGUUUGCAAGGUCAUAUAUUCUCUAAAAAAUUUAACUUGACAAAUUUAAUGAGGUUGCAGUUGGAUGGUAAUAAUUUCACUGGAGAGAUCCCAGAAAGCUUAUCUAAGUGCCGUUUGUUAGGAGGACUAUAUCUGAGUGAUAAUCAUCUCUUUGGUAAGAUUCCAAGAUGGUUGGGUAAUUUUUCAGCUUUAGAAGAUAUUAUAAUGCCCAAUAACAAUCUUGAAGGACCAAUACCAAUCGAGUUUUGUCAGCUUGAUUCUCUGACGAUUUUAGACCUUUCAAACAAUGCUAUUUUCGGAACCUUACCAUCUUGUUUUAGUCCAUCAUUUAUCGAACAAGUUCAUUUGUCAAAAAACAAGAUAGAAGGACGGCUGGAAAGUAUAAUCCAUGACAGCCCUUAUUUGGUGACAUUAGAUCUUAGUUAUAACCGCUUCCACGGAAGUAUUCCAAAUUGGAUUGACAUACUUUUUCAGUUAAGCUACCUUCUUCUAGGUAAUAAUUAUAUUGAAGGAGAAAUACCAGUUGAAUUAUGCCAGUUGAAGGAAGUGCAGUUGAUUGAUCUUUCUCAUAAUAAUCUAUCUGGUCAUAUUCCUCCUUGCUUGGUUAACACUGCACUCAGUGAGGCAGUAGCUCCAACUUCUAGUUCGUGUGGUCGAGCGUCUGGCUAUGCACGUCCAUGUGAGAAAAAUACAAGUGGACCUCCGAUGGGAAAGGAAGAAACUGUACAGUUCACAACAAAGAAGAUGUCCUACUAUUAUCAAGGAAGAAUUUUGACGAGUAUGUCUGGGAUUGAUCUUUCUUGUAACAAACUGAUAGGUGAAAUUCCUACUCAAAUUGGAUAUCUUACUAGGAUUCAUGCACUAAAUCUAUCUCAUAACAAUUUGACGGGCACAAUCCCGACAACAUUUUCAAACCUGAAGCAAAUUGAAAGCUUGGACCUCUCCUACAACCUAUUGCAUGGGAAAAUCCCUCCUCAACUAGUUGCGCUAAAUACAUUGGCAGUCUUCAGAGUAGCAUACAAUAACUUAUCAGGUAAAAUUCCAGAUAGAAUUGCACAAUUUUCAACUUUUGAGGAAGAUAACUAUGAGGGGAAUCCUUUUCUUUGUGGAUUGCCACUGUCUAAAAGUUGCAAUGAUAGUGGAUUAUCAGCAGUGACACCGGAAGCUUACAUUGAAGAUGAAGAAGGUGAUUGUUUCAUUGACACGAGCAGUUUCCUGAUCACUUUUACAGUAUCUUAUGGAAUUGUUAUAAUAGGAAUUAUUGGAGUUUUGUACAUAAACCCCUAUUGGCGACGAAGAUGGUUUUACCUUGUUGAAGUAUGUAUGAUCUCUUGCUACUAUUUUGUAGUAGAUAAUCUUAUUCCUAGAAGAUUCUAUCGUGGAUGGAUGUAAUUUCCUUACAUUACAACUUAUAUGUAAUUUUUAAAGAAUUUUCUUUUGCAUGCAUGGAAUAGCAACUCAAUAAAAGUAUUUGAUGCAAAUUGUCCAAGAACAACUUAGUAAUUUCAUUGCAACUAUUCGGUUGUAUAUAUACAGUUAAUGAAAUUUUUAACCAUUCGCAGAAUACCCUUAGGAAUUUCUUUAGAUGGCGGCCAAAAAGAGAUUCGGGGCUCUACACGGUCUGGAUGAAGAUUAACUUAAUGCCCUCUGGAUUAUGUGUAAGUUCUCUUUUAAAUUUAAGGGUUGAGAUUUCAGGUCCGGAUGAAAGUUGAAUGCAGGUGACGAGACUUCACUGGGACAAACUUAAAAUAAAAAAUUAUAGUCCACAAUAAGUGUAAUACCCUACCCCUGGUUUUUGACCAUGCUGACCACCCAUAUAUAUAUAUAUAUAUAUAUAUAUAGAGAGAGAGAGAGAAGUAAAGAGAGAAGAGACGAGAGAGAGAGUGAAAGGAGUUGACCCGAGUUUGACCCGAAUCCGACCCGGAACCCGCGACUUUGACCCAGCGAUUUCUCCCAUUUCCGGCCACCGUUCCGGGCAAGCUUGGUACCGAUUCGAAGCUUGAGAGACGAGCUACGUGUCCAUGCCAUCCUUGCCGCCGGAAAACGAUCGGAAAGCCACCGAUCGAAGCUUUGAAGUUCCGCGGAAUCACCGGCUCGAUUCGCCGGUUUCCGGUGAAGCCAUCACUUGGGUUUGGUCCUUACCUUGCCCUCUGCCAUUUCCGACUAACCACUGACGCCGGGGACAUCGUUUUAUCGGUGAUCAGCCGUUAGAGGAUUCACGACUUCGGGAGCUCGAUUCGGAGCCAUCGCCGCGCGUGGGAGGUCACCACCGCCAUCAUUGGACUCAGCGUGGCUUGAACUUUCAGUUCUGAGCUUCCCGUCGCCGUCGGAUGAAUUCCGGUGACCGUUGACCGGCAAGGGUAUUUCGGUGAUUUCACAGUCUAAGGGCAAUUUUGUAAUUUCAGAUUUUGUGGGUAUUUUCGUAAUUGCAUUGAUUGAGGAUAAAGUUGGUAAUUUAUGAUUUUGAGGUUAAUUUGGUAAUUUUGAUAUGGGGGUAUUUUGGUAAUAUUGAAUUCAAGGGUAUUUUGGUAAAUUUUGUAAUUUGAGGGUAAAUAUGUAAUUUGUGGAAUCAAUGGAUAAUUGGUAAUUUUAAGUGAGGGCAGUGAGGUAAUUUGAGAUUACGAUGGUAACUCGGUAAUUUAAGUCGUAAAGGAUAUUUUGGUAAUUUUACGUUCCGAGGGUAAUUUCGUAAUUUCUGACAUUGUGGUUAUUUUUGUGAUCUGAAUUGAGGACUAUUUAGUAAUUGAAGAUUAUGAGGAUAAGUUGGUAAAAUAAUGAUGUUGGGGGCAUUUUGGUAAUUUUGGCAUGUAGGGGUAUUUCGGUAAUUUUGUGCAUGCGGGAAUAGUUUAUUGUUAAUAGAUAUUCGUUUCGAGAUUUAUUAUAUAAAAUUGGUUGUAUUUCAAUUUACGGAAAAUGAUUAUGGCGUUUCCUUGAUUAGGAGGAUUCGCGAACGAGAAUCAACCCGCGGACGUUGUUGGCACCAAAUCUGGAUAUUGUCACUCUGAGUGGAAUAUACGAAACUUAUUUUUAGAGUUAAUUAUGAUAGUAAAGCAUGUUUGCGGAAUAAGUAUUUUAAAUGUUCUGAUUUAAUGAUUUCUUGAAAUGGAUUUAAUGUGAUUUCCUCGAAAUGGAUUUAAUGUGAUUUCCUCGAAAUAGAUUUUAUUCAUGUGUUGAUAUUUUAUUAAAGUGUUUGGUCAAUGAUUUUGCGUAUCCAUUUUGAAUAACGCAUGAUAUUAUUUGAAAAAUAAGAAAAGUGGAUUCAAAUGUGGUAUGAUUUAAAAUAUGGUUAAGAGGAUUGUUUUUGAAAUCAUUAGACAGUACCCUUCCCCUCCAGAUACAGUGAUAUAAAUGAUAUGAGAUGAGAGGCCUUUGGGGUUCGUCUGAACACACAUAGAGGCUUUGGGCCGUGUGUUUGAGCGUUUUUGCCUUUAUAUGCAUGCAGUACAGAUAUUGAGUUACAGUGAUACAGAUAUGGGCUACAGACAUAUAUUGAGUACAGUGAUACGGAUAUGGGAUACAGAUCAGUUAUUGAGAUUCAGAGAUACAGUGAUACAGAUAUGAGAUACAGACAGUUGAGAUACAGAUGAGAUACAGGCCUUUGGGGCCCGUCUGAGUACACACAGAGGCUUUGGGCCGUGUGCUUGGGCGCUAUUGUCCUUUGGGGACUAGAUUAUGCAUGCACAGAUAUGAUGAGAUAUGAAAUAGUAUUUCCCUAUUUAUCCGUGUAGCUCUGGGGUGUGACGUUACCCAGAUAGUACGUCAUUGCCCGUCCGUUGAGGUCCGUAUAUGACGAGAUUAUUUCCCUGGGUACUUGUUUGAUGAUAGUUUUGGUAUUUAGUAUUUGAUAUGAUAAGUAUGGGUAAUUUUUAAAAACCUCCCCUGAGGUUUGAGGCUGUUGCAAGUAGAUGGUGAAAAUCAUUUUAUUUGUAAAAGACCCCCUACCGUCAGUUAAAAUUUUUAUUGACUAACUGUUGACUUUAAAAAGACAAUAUUACCGCCAAUAAUAGUUUACGUCAGUUAAAAUUUCCUUAAAAUCUUAAAAAAAUAAAAUUACAAACUUAAAAAAAUUAUAUUUUUAUAUCAAAUAAUUAAGAUUUGUAAUUUUAUUACAAACUUUAAAAAAUUACAUUUUUAUAUCAAAUAAUUAAGAUUUGUAAUUUUAUUACAAACUUAAAAAAAAUUAUUUUAAGAUUUGUAAUUUUAUUUUUUUAAGAUUUUAAGGAAAUAUCAAUAACUUAAUCAUGGUGAAAAUAAUUGUUUUAAUUACUUAUGAAAUUGUAAAUAUUUGGAAUUGUAAAUAUUGGGGGUAAUAUUGUCUUUUCAAAGUCAACAGUUAGUCAAUGGAAAUUUUAACUAACGGUAGGGGGCCUUUUACAAAUAAAAUAAUUUUCACCAUCUACUUGCAACAGCCUCAAACCUCAGGGGAGGUUUUUAAAAAUUAUCCUGAUAAGUAUUAUGUUUCCAUCGAUUUUAUGCAGAUUUAUGUAAUAUAGUAUUUCAGUGACUGAUUUGAAUUAAAUAAGUUUAUAUAAGUUCUUAUGAUAUUCUGAUGAAAUUGAUUUGAGAAAUUGAUUUGAGAAAGAUUAAAUCAUUUUAAAAGAAUUGAUUUUUUAAAAUUACUAUCCACUCACUGAGUUCACUGAGUUUUAUACUCAUUCCGCUUUUAUUAUAUUUUCUUCCCCCCACAGGAGAUUUGCAGGUACAUCAGUCGACCUAGUAUCGAAUGUUAGUUUUGAAAUUGUUGCCACGUGAUGGUGUUAGGAUGUCAUAGAGUUAAUACUGUGAUAUUUAGGAUAUUGCGAAUUGUAUUUAUUUAUUAUAUUUUGUAAUUAAGGAUAACCAUUGUAUUUUUUAAUAUUAGAAUGACUUGGGUGGUACUUGGUAUGUUGACUUGAGAAGUUGGUUAUGGAAGAUGGUUGGAUAUUGAAUUAUUUUAGGAGUAUUGUUUUGUAAUUUGCAGGUUUGAGAAUGUUAUAUUUAUAAGGGAGAUUCUGCCGAAAUUUUUAUAGAAUUCGUACUUAAUAUCGAUUCAAUUUUACGAGUUUAGAUGGACUUGCCCUGGGGGUGCGGGGCGGGUCGUUUCAGUAAGAGCAAUGGGUAGUUUAACUUAUGGAAGAUAACUAGAACUUGGAAUAACUAUCCGAUCUGCACCUCUUUAUUUGUUAUAUGCUAGUGGGGAUUUUAGGUAGCGUUUAUCGCCAGGGGAGUUACAGUAAUCGAUUCAUAUAUCCUCCUUUACUUCCGAGGGUAACCCAGCUCUAUACAAGAACAACAAGAGGGUUCAAUUAAGAACUCUCUCUCUUCCUCACAACAAAUACACCUAACAGACCAAACCGUGCGCAAAAUAAUUCUAUUCCGUUCUAUUCAUGUCAUGAAUCCCACAAGUCAAAAACUAUCGCAACUCAUUUUGUUUAAUCAGCAUAACUAAAUUGUGGGUAUAAAUGAGCAAACUUUUGAAGCCUGUAACUUAUAAUAAACGCAAACCCAAAAAUGACAUUUAAAUCCUCAUCAUCCCUAACAAAAAGAAACAGGAAUAAUUAUAUACCAAUAAUUUUUCCACAACAAAUACUGAUUUGAGUUGAAACACUAUACAAACUGGGUCCUAUACACUUGCAGAAAGCUACACAGUAGAGAAAAUCUAGCAGCUACAUAAUGGUAUCACUUUCAGCUGGUCACGAAUGGUGUGCAUUCAGCAGUGCUCGACAGACCAUGUCUACGAAUUGAUUGUCCUAUUACAUAUAAAAGCUGGUUAGAUAUACAAGGAAAAAAUUAAUAAUUGAAAAUGCAUCACAAAAAUUAAGAGUAUCGCAUUAGUGUUUGCACUCUAAGCAUGGCAAAGUGGUGGGGGGUUCAUUAUUUUGAAGACUGGGAUAAGUGAAAAAUAGUUCAAUCCACUGAUGAGCAUAAAUUUAUUUACAUGUCAAUUUAGAUAUCAUCAAAAAGUAAACAGUAAUUCACAGUCACUUAAAAGAGUGGACAAAAUGCAUACCAUGAAUGCAUUUUUGUACGUAAGAAAUCCAAAGAAUAUUUCUGAUAAUACAAAUAUGCUGGCUUUAAAUCUGCUGUCAAUAAGCAAUUAAGAAGAUUAUACCAGCUGCAUGGUAAAGUUCCCCUACUCUUAAUAACAGUAAACAUGAACAUGUCAGAUGCAAUUCUAGCAUCGACCAUUUGCAUAACCAGAAAUCCUAACCUGAACAAGCACCAGAAGUGCCUCCCGGACUUUCUCCUUGCUGAUAAAUGGUCCACAGUUUGAAGUAAGAGCAGGAGUAAGAGAUGGUGGAGGGAUUGGUGGUGGAAAAGGUUGAAGCACUGGGGCACCACAUGGGCGUUGUAGACUCAAGGGAGUAUUAAGUGGCGGAGCUGUUGGUGUAGAUGAAGAGACAGGCUGCAUCAUCCGCGCAGAGGAGGAUGGAGGAGGAACAAAGAAUAAGGAAGGCUUUACAAGAUUAGGUGUCCAGUUGCCAGAUUCAGAGGUGUCAAUGGGUGGCAUUAAAGGGGUAGGUGCUGAUAGAGGCGGGGAUGGUAUUUGCAAGGUUGGCACGAUAGGAUAAGCAACACUGGCGGGAUGAGAAGGUACAGAAAUAGUUGUAUCAGACUGCUAAGGUUGUGCAGAGAUUGCUGCAUUAGAAGUACUCCCCACAAUCAUAGCUGUCUGUAAUGAUAAGGACAGAUGUCAGAUACAAGGACUUCAUAGAAGUUGAACCUCACACUAAAAAGAAGUGAUAACAUAUGAAAAUAGUAUAUGACUUGCAGCAUUUUUGUGGUAAUGUUGCAUACUUAUGUAGAAACAUAUUAUUUCAAAGAAAACAUACACUGAAGAAGUUCACAAAAGCAGGAUCCUCAGGAACAUCAGCAGCAUUUGAGGGAGUUGACUCUAGAGGACCAUCCAUAACUGCCGUAGUUGGAACAGCUUCCAGUUCCUCAAACUCACUGCAGUUUAACAAUAAAAGGAACUCGAUGACCAAUUUAAGUAACAAUUAGAUGAUAUAAGAGGUUAGGGAAAAUGAUGAGCGGACCCUUAUGGAAGGUGAUUUCACCUUAGCUAAACACGAAAAUAAAAAGAAAUCAAGGCCGACUCCUCGAGUGCAAUGCAAAAAAUAUUUUCCCUCUUCUCUAACUCCUCUUAUUCAAAAUUGCUCAUCAUUGUGCUGUUCUUUGAGUUUUCACUAGAGUAGAGAACGCUAUUCUCCUGUUAAGUGCAGAGGAAAGAGAAGGGCAAGGGCCUGGUAUGACGCUAUUCUAUAGAAAGUGAGAAGGUGAAGGGUUAAAAUAUUUUGCAAUUUGGAGGUGGUGUUUGUUAGUGUUCGUACUUCUGAGUUUAUUACCUCUUUAGGAUCCAUAGAAAUUGCCUCUUGUUUAGCAUGCACUGUGCCUAAGAGUAAGGCGAGCUUGCAGAGUAUCUAUUAUUUAUUUACUUGGAUAUUCAAACAGGACUACCAGCAACCAAACCUGUCCCAGCACACUAAUCCCCAAACAAAACACUCCUUCAAGUGCAAGGAAAGAGUAACGUGGGCAUAUUUAUGGUUCAAGCACUACAAUAACUAAGAAUGUGAUGACUGUCCACAAACACUAUAUCAGAACCUUUUGAACUACAUCACAUGCUCGAAGAUUGUUUUUUCAGUCAUACAUAAAUUAGCCAUAAAAUUAAGGCCAUUAUACAACUAAAAAGAAAGAAAAAUUGUUUGCUACUACAUAUCAAAACUGGUAAUAGAAAUGUAAUAUGGCAGACUUCUUACUUAAACAGAUGAGAGGCUACAAAAAAAAAAUUGUGCAAAUAAAAUAUAUGAUAAAGAGCAUAAUACUUUCUUGGGGGCUAAAAAUAAUAUACAACAUGUAAAAUAUAAAUUGAGCUAUCAUUACCUUUUAGACGUGGCAACUUUCGACUUUUGAGGCACCUUGGAAUAUGCAUUCAGAAUCCUGCAUUUGGAAGCCAAAUAAAUAAUGUUAAAAACAAUUUUACAAUAGAAACAUUAAAAAUUGAUAAAUUACAGUUGCAAUUUAUGUAUGCGAAAAGAUAGCAUCACAUCCAGGGUCCUCCCCUAAACAUGCUUGUAACGAGAAUUAGUCUGCCUCCACUGUUAGCAACUGCUAACAAUAUACAAUAGUAAAAAUCACUCUCAUGAACUCACCAAUACCAGACACCAAUAAGAGUAUGAUACAACUAUUCUAAAUGGAAGAGAAAACCACUGUUUUAUAACUAUGUCGCAUCCAAAGAUAUGUUAGGAGGAUUAAUCCAAAUACCUUCGAACCCAAUUAACAAACUUGAGGCAAAAACCAGGGGCCCCAACUGAACCUUACAAUCUUGAAGGAAGGAGGCUUCUGGCAUUUUUCAGAUAGGUGAGUUACUAGAUCUCCUGCGAAGAGAAUAUCUUUUGCUUUGAACCUCCAUUGAAAUUUCUUUUUCCCUUUUUCUUGUUUUGACUUGGAACUUUCCAGCAUCAUCUAUUUGACCUUUUUUAAAGCUAAAAUAGCAAUCUAUGGGUUGUCAACAUCUUAUCUCCCCUUCCCCCCCCCCCCCCAAAAAAAAAAAAUCAAUGGGUUGUCAAUAAAUAGUGCCUACUCAACUUAUGUUUUCCAAGGGAUGACAAUGUGCAAAUCGACCUAGUAGCCACACUUUUCCCCCACUUUCAACCACCGUUAGGCAACUUUUCUAACCUUUCUUCAUUGCCCACAUCUACAGAACUAUCAUAUAAAGACUACAUUAUUAUUGGGGUAGAGGAAAAAAUACAGACUAUAUUAUUAUAUCUCAUUUUACUAAUUGGAAAAGACACUCAUGAUAAUACAGACCUUAAAAAGCAAUAGCUAGUAACACCCCAUGUACUCCUAUUUUAGCCUUCACUAUCCUAGUAAAAACACAAUUAAGUCUUGCAAAAGAACAUUCACAAGUAAAUUCAACAUUAAAUGAGAUUAGGUAUCCACUGCACCUUCAAUCGAUGACUGGGUGAAUAGCAUGGUCAACCAUCUAGUUCCUGCAGCCCUCCUUGUACCUAUGUUAGUUACAUUUUACAUAUUACGCCACGAAAAUGAAGGAUCACAGCCUGGUAAAGAAAGCCAUUAAUUAAUAGCUUUUGUUUAAAAAGUUCUCAUUUAGAUCUUUCCUAUUCAAUUAAUCAAUGUAAUCCAAAGAGAACUCUUCCAUUUCAAGCAGUGUUAGAAGAUAAUUGCAAAGCCUAAAGAUAAUAUACAAGGACCAAGAUAUCAAUAAAGUCAAAUAGUGAAUGUCAAAUAUAAAAAAUAAAUAAAAUAGUUGAACGUGAUCAUUUACUAUCAAGUUCUGUAAAACUGAAAAUACCAUUAUCCCUGUAGAGAUUCUCAAAAAACUCUUUAGCAAAUCAUUAAAUAGCAAAAAAAAGAACGAAAGUUCAAAAAAAAAAAUGUACAACAUCCAUAUCAGGAGAUAUUUUUCUUCUCAAUAUCAAUAUUUUCUAGCCGUGAAGCAAUUGAAAAGCUUAACACCAAGUGAAUUAUUAAGAAUUCAUCAUUUAAAUUCCCAAAUCGCAAAAUGUUGGUGCAACUAGGAAAGUGCAAAUGCAGUCACUUAACUAACACAAUAAGCACCAAUAGUGAGAAGCCCACUUUGUAUCAAAUUUGAAACAGAUAGAUAGAGGUCAAAAAAUUUAUAAAGACACUCAAUUGAAAGCCUUUCAAGCAGCUUUUGCAUGCAACAAGAGCAAAUCAAAGGCGAUGAGAAUGUAUUCAAAGACUAAUUUACAAUCAUCUAUAGACAUAAAUAUCUUGGAUACCUACUCUCUAUACCUUACUGUCCCACUGAAAAUCAUCAAAUCCCUCCAAACAAAAAUGACAAAAUGUAUAAGAAUUGUGUGGUCAAACUUCAAUAACUUAGCAGCCACAGCAAAAACUUAUGUAGACAUGCAAGCCACUCAAAAUAGUCAUAUUUUUUGCUUUCCAAACACAAGCCACUGUGUAAUGAAUGCUCAUAAAUUGCUACUACCAUGUUUGUUAAAACACGUGAAAACCACCAUAACUAACUCAAUGUAACUGAUGAUCACAUCACAUUCAUGGAAUCACAUAUCUGACAGUAUUAAUUAGUGCAAACUGCAUGCUUCUUGAAACUCCUUAUUUAUCACAUGGGUGCCAUUCCAAUCAACCAAUGAUUCUGAUCUAGUCAGCAAAUUCAACCCACGAGCGAGUAAUACCUCCUAUUGCUUCUUUACAUUUCUCAACAAAAUUCCACAUUCUACCCAUACUUCUGAACUUGAUGCUCCCAUAGACUAAUACAAUAUAAAGAUUUCUUCCCACACCACCCCAACCCCCACCCCUAAAAAACCAAUUUAAAUUCUCAUUGGAUGUACAACUUAUAGUCCAUACCAAAUUGAAAAAUUUGCAAAUAUAGAACCUCAAAGAAUCUGCUUGCGUUCCAUUUUCUACAGCAAGAAAAUUGACCUUUACCACAUGCAAGUCAACAUAUAAAACAAUCAUGUCUUUGUGAGAUGCACAUUUUCAGAUGAAUCUGGAGAGCAAUGAAACCAUAAAAACCUAAUAUGA
rnacentral:lncRNA from 1 species